GCGAAGAGUAAAAAGCCUGAAUUAUUGAGUGUGAAUCUUCAGACUCCUGUACCUCUUCCCUGAAGGGCACAGUAUGUCAAUGAUAAAAGGAAAGGUGAAAUAUUUGCAUUCAUCUUCAACCAGGUGUCCUGAUGAAGUGUCUCAGCCCGAAAUGUUGACUGUUUAUUCCUUUCAUGCUCACAAGUGGCUCGUUACAAAAAAUUUACUGACAAAAAGCCUGGGUAACUUUCAUCAAUUUACUACGUUGGCUGAGCCUGGGAAUGAUCUCCUGUGUGAAACUGAAAUGGGAGAAAUAAAUAAAAGACCAGUCAGAUUAAUUAGUUAUUCCUCAUUGAACUGAUUGCAGUAGUAGUGAUUGUGGAUCACUUUGCCAAGUUAGUACGACAGUUUCUGAUGAGCUGAACGUUCAACCUGUUAUUCUUUAGAGGAAAGACACAACUCCUCAUCUAUCAAGCAUGAAGCUCUUCUACAAUUACUUAAUGCAGACGGUUCAUGUUAUAGUAGCACUCCCUCACUGUUGUGAGUUUUAAGACUAGGUUUGAUUGGACAUAAUAUGGUUCUUAUUAUGCAAGUGAGCUUGUCCUAGUAAUUAUGAAUAAAUCUGUGAACUUAGUAUAUGAUCUCUCAAUUCUAAUAUUCAGUCACCCGAGAUUUUAUCAAAUGUUGUUGUAUGUAAAUGUUCAUAAAUAUUCUGUAUAAUAAUUCAACAGAUAGGAACAUUAAAUCUUCACCAGUUGUAGGAAAUCGUGAUAAAAGCAAGGAAUUUCAUACACUUUGAAGAAAUAUUUAUCAUUGUGGCAAUUUUCUUUUGAUAGAUGGUGUUGUAAUACAAUAUGUAAAUGUGCGAUGUUUGUAUUUGUUUCUGAGAGGGAAUAGUUUGGACAGCAGGGAAAGGUAAGAGACUGUGUGUUGCAGGCAGACAAUUUUGCUUUGCUGGGACAAUAUAAGAAGGUUCGGAGAGAUUGUUUUGGACAGUACCUUCACAGAAAGGUAAAUAUUAUCCCACAGUGGAGUUGGGUAACAUCUGUUAAUCUCAGCCACUGAUAUUGACAUGUAUUGGAUAACUGGAUUACACACCCAAUGAUUGUACUGCACUAAAAUAUAAAACAAACCAAUGUGACGGUACCUUUAUUUUGUGACUCACACAGUGUAUUUCUGAACACUCAGUAAUAAAGCUGCAUGUCUUUUCUGUAAAAUACCCUUCUGCAGACUGUCGUUUCUGUAUCACUCCCAAAGGCUGUAUGAGUGAGAGAGGUUAUAGCAACUGACCCUGAACAACAGCAGAAAGCUGUGCCUUUA